rnacentral:lncRNA from 1 species
GUUAGCUGAGCACUGUUUUCUCUCGGCGCGAUAGCAAGGUUGCGAUUGUGCCGAGAAAAAUGGCUCGCCGCCGGAAAAAUGCAAUCCCCGCUCCUGCUUAGAUCAUUACUCCUGCUAAUGGUGUUACUAAGGAAUUAGAACCGCUCACUUUUGGUAGCUUUCUCCCACAGAAGUUCCAAUUGAUUGAGGAGAUUCAUGAAGAUGGUUGUGUUGAGGAUGAUAUGCCUGACCAAUUGAGUAAAAUGGAGGGAAACUCAAAUUCAGCUGUGCGUCGAUUACACUUCUCAGAAACUAGUGGAUCCGAGAAACCUACUCCAUCUGCUGCUGAUAUUGUCAGAGGUAAUCGUAGCUCACAAAUGGGUAAAACGCUUUCGUUUGUUCCUCCUACUGAAAGAGAUGGUAAGAAAAUUGUCAAAUUAAGUGAAGAUGACUUGAAAUCACAUGUUGAUUACUGGAAGACUUCCUUAAUUGGGUACAUAUUUGGUGAGACGCCGUAUGAGAAAACUAUGGAUAAUUUUGUGUUGCAUGUGUGGAAUUUUGUCUCUAAGCCUCAGAUACUGAUUCACUCUAAGGGUUACUGCCUUUUCAGGUUUAAUACUAUAAAGGACAAAGAUCAAGUUAUUCAAUCAAGUGCUUAUUUAUUCAAUAGAUUAACUCUGAGGGUUACUGCCAUUUCAGAUUUAAUACUAUAGAGGACAGCGAUCAAGUUAUUCAAUCAUGUUCUUAUUCUUAUAGGAAUAAGCCAAUGGUGUUGAAACCAUGGGAAAUUGAUUUCUCUUUCCAGAAGGACAUGCUGAGUACAGUUCCUGUGUGGAUUAGGUUUCUGGGACUACCUGUAGGCUAUUGGUCAACUGAUGCAUUGAGCAAGUUGGCUAGUGCAGUGGGGAAACCCUUGUAUACAGACAAGUUCACAGCUCAUUAUGAGAAAAUAUCUUAUGCUAGAGUGCUAAUGGAGGUUGAUGCUGCAUAUCCUCUACCUGAUCAGAUAGAGAUUGAGACUCCUUUUGGGCUUAAAACUCAGAUGAUUCACUGGAAGCCUAUCUAUUGCAUGCAUACCCUCUACCUAAUCAGAUAGAGAUUGAGACUCAUUUUGGGCUUAAAACUCAGAUGAUUGAUUAUGACUGGAAGCCUAUCUAUUGCAAUCACUAUCUGAAAUUUGGCCAUGAUUAUAUAGGUUGCUGGUAUAAUACUAGCUUUGAUGAAGAACAGGAGCUGGACGAAGGGGGUAAGCCAAAAAGACAGAGGAUCAGAAUGAAAAAGUAUGUAAAACCAGUAAAGCAAGAAUGGCUGGUUAAAAAGGAUCGAGAUAGAGUAGAGCUAAAUGCACAGGAGCAAUUGCCAGAACAAUCAGCUAAUAAGGAAACUGAGGGGUUGGGGGAAACCACAAUUAUAAAGGUGACUACUCAACAGGAUGCAAAGAAAAGUACUGACAUUCAGGAGAAAAAUGAAACAGUAAAUAGUGAAUCUAUUUGCAGCAUUAGGAUGCAAAGCAAAGUACUGACAUUCAGGAACAGAAUGAAACAGUAAAUAGUGAAUCUAUUUACAGCAUUGAGGUAAUGGAAGAAAAUAGCAGAAAGGGCAAGGCAAUUGUUGAAGGGAUAGAUGCUGGAAGAGGGGGACAACAUAUUGACCCUGGACCUUCUCAGUACCUAAAUCCAAAGUUGAUAUGAUUAUUGUAACUUGGAAUAUUAGGGGGCUAAACCUAGCCCAUAAGCAGAAAGCGUUGAAGACCUUUCUUGCUGUCAAUAAAGUAGAUAUUCUGGGUUGUAUAGAGACUAGAGUUAAGGAACAUAAAGCAAAGAAAAUACAAGGAAAGAUUGCAAAAGGAUGGAAUGUCCAUUGCAAUUAUUCAAAGGCUGUUAAUGGGAGAAUUUGGCUUCUUUGGAAACCUCAUAUCCAUCUUCAAGUUUCCCAAGUGACUGAAUUGCAAUUAUUCAAAGGCUGUUAAUGAGAGAAUUUGGUUUCUUUGGAAACCUCAUAUCCAUCUUCAAUUUUCCCAAGUGACUGAUCAAUUCAUUCAGUGUUUUAUUGAAGAUUCCAACAGUCAAUUCAGAACUCACUUCUGUGUCAUUUAUGCUCAGAAUGAUGGCAACCAAAGAGAACAGUUGUGGAGUGAUCUGAGGCAAAUACAUAUACCUGGCCAGGAAAAUUGGCUGUUGAGUGGUGAUUUUAAUAAUGUCUUAAGUUUUGAAGAUAGAAUAGGGUCACCUGUAUCUGAUGCUGAAGUUAAAGGUUUUAGAAGUGUCAUUGAUGACUUGCAGCUUACUCCUCUUAGAGCAAAAGGUUGGCAUUUCACUUGGACAAACAAGCUUGCUGAGUGGAGAUUUUAAUAAUGUCUUAAGUUCUGAAGACAGAAUUGGUUCACAUGUAUCUGAUGCUGAAGUUAAAGGUUUUAGAAGUGUCAUUGAUGACUUGCAGCUUACUCCUCUCAGGGAAAAUGGUUGGCAUUUCACUUGGACAAACAAGUAGGAUGUUUCAUCAAGGGUAUAUAGUAAGAUUGACGGGGCAUUAGGCAACUACCAGUGGAUACAACAGUAUGGACACAUUGAAGCUGACUUUAUGAAUCCAUCAAUAUCUGAUCACUCUCCUAUCCUUAUCAAAUGUGAUGGCCAGAAGUUGCUUCAUCCAAAGCCUUUCAGAAUGUUUAUCAAUGUUAUGGAAUCCCCUCAGUUCCAAAAUAUUGUACAGCAUGUCUGGAGACAGAAUUUUGUGGGUGCACCUAUGCAGCAGAUAUGUAGUAAAUUAAAUAAUAUGAAACAGCAGAUAAAGGAGAUUAAUGCUUAUAUGGCUUUAUAUAGGCAAAAACUUGUACAGGCUAGAGAUAAACUAGAAAUUAUCCAGAACCAGUUGCAUCAAUCGUCAAAUGUGAUGGUCAUAAGUUGCUUCACCCAAAGCCUUUUAGAUUGUAUAUCAAUGUUAUGGAAUCCCCUCAGUUCCAAAAUAUUGUACAACAUGUCUGGAGACAGAAUUUUGUGGGUGCACAUAUGCAGCAGAUAUGGAGUAAAUUAAAGAAUAUGAAACAACAGCUAAAGGAGAUUAAUGCUUAUAUGGCUUCAUAUAGGCAAAAACUUGUACAGGCCAGAGAGAAACUAGAAAUUAUCCAGAACCAGUUGCAGCAAUCUCCAUUACUUCAACCUCUGUUUAAUGAGGAAAAAGCAGCACUUGAAGAAAUCCAGAAAUGGAGUAUUGUGGAGGAACAAAUAAUGAGGUAGAAAUCCAAGGCUUGCUGGAUUGAAUGUGGUGAUGCCAAUACAAAGUACUUCCAUGCUCAGUGGAAAAUCAGAACCAGCCAGAACAUCAAACCUCCAUAUAUAGUGAUACAUGUUUAAAACUGACAGAUCCCAAGGUAGUGGAACAAGAGUUUAUCAGUGUUACUUGCUGGAUUGAAUGUGGUGAUGCCAACACAAAGUACUUCCAUGCUCAAUGGAAAAUCAGAACCAGUCAGAACAGCAUAACCUCCAUAUAUACUGAUACAGGUUUAAAGCUGACAUAUCCCAAGGUAGUGGAACAAGAGUUUAUCAGUGUUUUUCAAUCAUUGAUGGGAGAUUGUGCUGGGGAACUACCUUGUGUAAACACAACUAUCAUCAAGGAGGGUACCUGUUUAACUCUACCACAACAAAGAAUGCUGAUACAAGAGGUUACAAUGAGGGAGAUCACAAGAGCAAUAAUGGAGAUGCCUAAGGAUAAAGCACCUGGAGUGGAUGGAUUCCCUGUGGAAUUCUUCAUUAAGAACUGGGAAUUAGUCAAAGAUGAUAUUCUUGCUACUACAAAUGAUUUCUUUUCUACAAACAGAAUGCCUCAAAUGAUUAACACAACAGCUAUUGCACUUGUCUCCAAAGUUAAAGCUCCUUCAACUGUUAAAGACGCCUCAAAUGAUUAAUACAAUAACUAUUGCACUUGUUCCCAAAGUUAAAGCUCCUGCAACUGUUAAAGAUUACAGGCCCAUAGCUUGCUUCACCACCUUAUAUAAGAUCAUAUCCAUAGUCAUUACUAAAAGAAUGAAAAGUGUGAUUGGUGAUCUAAUUGGGCAGGCUCAAUCAGCUUUCAUUGAAGGAAGAAGCAUAGAUGAUAACAUUCUACUUAGCCAUGAAAUCUUCAAAGGAUAUUCUAGGAAAGGAGUGUCUCCCAUAUGUGUUUUGAAAGUGGAACUGAGAAAGCCUUAUGAUAUUUUGGAAUUGAGUUUCCUUAAGAAGGUUCUUAUUGAUCUAGGUUUCCCUGCUAAAUUUGUGCAAUGGAUCAUGGCAUGUGUUACUACAGUCUCUUAUUCUCUAGUUCUGAAUGGUGGUUUAACAAAACCUUUCAAAGCUAAGAGGGGUAUUAGACAAGGUGACCCUAUGUCACCUUAUCUAUUUCUGAUUGCUAUGGAGUAUUUGAAUAGGGAACUGGGACAACUACACAAGAAUGGUGAUUUCAAUUUUCAUCCUAAAUGCAGGAAGUUUAACAGUAUUCAUGUACGCUUUGCUGAUAACCUAUUAAUGUUCUGCAGAGCUGAUCUUAUUUCUAUUAGAUGAAAUUUAAUAGUAUUCAUGUAUGUUUUGCUGAUGACCUAUUAAUGUUCUGCAGAGCUGAUCUUAUUUCUAUUAGCAUUUUAAAGGAGGCUUUCCACAGAUUUCUGAAGCAUCUGGUCUACAAGCAAAUGUUAAGAAGAAUGCAUUAUACAUGGCUAGAAUAAAGAAGAAUGUCAGAGAGGUAAUUCUAGGGACACUGGGUUUUAUUAAAGGGGAGCUGCCAUUUAGAUAUCUGGGGAUACCCUUGGACUCCAAGAAACUGGCUAUCUGUCACUAUCUGCCUCUGAUUGAGAAGAUAACAGCCAAGAUAACAUGUUGGUCUGCAAAAUUGCUCUCUUAUGCUGGAAGAUGUCAGCUGAUCAAAGUAUGAUUGAGAAGAUAACAACCAAGAUAACAUGCUGGUAUGCAAAAUUGCUCUCUUAUGCUGGAAGAUGUCAGCUGAUCAAAGCUGUCAUAUUUGGAGUUCAAACCUACUCGGCUCAAAUUUUCAUUAUGCCUAAGAAAGUGUUGAAAACGAUUGAAACUAUCUGCAGAACUUUUUUGUGGACUGGAAGUGCUAAUCCAUCCAGGAAGGUACUAGUUGCUCGGGAAAGAGUAUGCAGGCCAAAAACAGCAGGUGGACUGAAUAUCCUAGACAUGAAGGCAUGGAACAAAGCAGCAAUCAGUAAACAUCUUUNNNNNNNNNNNNNNNNNNNNNNNNNNNNNNNNNNNNNNNNNNNNNNNNNNNNNNNNNNNNNNNNNNNNNNNNNNNNNNNNNNNNNNNNNNNNNNNNNNNNNNNNNNNNNNNNNNNNNNNNNNNNNNNNNNNNNNNNNNNNNNNNNNNNNNNNNNNNNNNNNNNNNNNNNNNNNNNNNNNNNNNNNNNNNNNNACCAGUAGAGAUGCUAUCAUGGGGAAUCAGUUGCUUCAGGGGACUUUGUUUAGCAGACUGUAAGGAAUGUGCAACCUAGAUCACUUUCAGAUCAAGAAGAUGUAUCUCACUCUGAUUCCUAAUUUUAGCAAAUUUGAAUGGAAGAACUUGUUGUUGCUUGCCAAUGUUCAUCCUAGGCAUCGAUUCACUAUGUGGUUAGCUGCACAAAAAAGGCUACCAACAGUGGACAGAUUGCAGAAAAUUGGCAUCCAAGUGCCUGCAACAUGUGUAUUCUGUAAGCAAAGUGUAGAAUCCUUUAAACACUUAUUUUUUGACUGCUCAAUCACAAGACAUCUGUGGACUAGACUCUGUUUAUAGCUGGGGCAUCAAAAAAAUUUUGGAGAUUGGCAACUGAACUGCAAUGGGUAAACAGUAAAGCAAAGAGCAGAGUGGGUUUAAAUGCUAUCUCAGCUGGUGUGUUUAUCAAUACUAUUGCACUAAUCUGGAGGGAGAGGAACAACAUCAGAUUUGAAAAGAAAGCCUAUGAGGAGAAUCAGAUUUGCAGAGAAAUUGUUUAACGUAUCCAUAUUCGAGGCAGAAAUUGUAGUCUAUGACAAAAUGGCUUGAGGCAAAUUAACAGUUUUCCAUAGAUCUUUACAUAUCCAUAUUCGAGGCAGAAAUUAUAGUGGAUGGCAAAAUGGCUUGAGGCAAAUUAACAGUUUUCCAUAGAUAUAGUUUGUACGAGCUAACUACUAUACUUAGUUGUAAUUAGUGAAAGAGUACUUAUAUACUUAGUAGAGAUGAUUGUGAUGUAAAGGAGUAGUAGCAAGUCAAAGCUACUACUAGAGCUCUACCUUAUUAAUUUUUUGUUAUUAAUGGAUACAAAUGUUAAAUCAAAAAAAAUAAUUGCUUAAAAAUACAACCCAACAGAUAGUAUUAAUAAUACAUGUGCAGACCUGUAGUUUUUUUAGUUUUCACCUACAUAGCCAACUCACACCUAGUUGCCUCAGACCAACAAAAAUAACAGUACCAACUGGAGUUCAUUAAUGCAAUGUGUUUUAAUAUAUAUCAUGCCUUGUGAUUGGAAUAAAAAAUAAUAAGAAGUGUGCUGCCCUGCACAAAACUAAAAUAUGGAUCUUACUCACAUGCUUGAAAUAAUAAAACUUGGAUCACAACCACCAAAGAAGACUAAAUCACAACCACGAAAGAAGACAAAAUACCAGUAGACAAUACCAAAAAUAAAAUGAGAUAUUUAGUAGAAAGCCCAAUUCAUUGAAGAAUUUUUUCAAACACCUACAUAACAAAAGUUCUUGACAUGUUAAAGUUUUCACGCAAAAAACAGCCCUAAUUCCUAAAGAGAAAACACAAAUUUUUAAGAUGCUAUCAAAGAUGGAAAAGAAGCACAGGAUAAGAACCAUAAUAUUCACCAGGAAAUGAGGUUUUGAAGGGGAAAAUCUACUGAAGUGCAAUUAAUUCCAAGAUGCAAAAAAUGGAUAAAGAAUAGUGUAAGGAAAGUUCUUUUUUAGAAAUAUCAUACCACAUGCGUGAGAUUAAAAUAACUGCAAUUCUUCCGCUGAC